GACGAACCGUCCUAACGUUGUUCGGAAUCACUGGGCUUAAAGGGCGCGUAGGCGGUCGACCAAGUCUGGGGUGAAAUCUUUCGGCUUAACCGGAAAAGUGCCCCCGAUACUGGCCGGCUAGAGGGAGAUAGGGGCAUGUGGAACUUCCGGUGGAGCGGUGAAAUGCGUAGAGAUGUGGAGGAACACCAAUGGCGAAGGCGGCUCACUGGCCCGUAACUGACGCUGAGGUGCGAAAGCGUGGGGAGCAAACAGG
rnacentral:rRNA from 1 species